rnacentral:tRNA from 1 species
AGAGGGUAGUUUAAUAGAAAAUAUUAAUUUUGGAGAUUAAAGAUAUAUUUGUUUUCCUCUGA